rnacentral:rRNA from 1 species
GAUGAACGCUGGCGGCGUGCCUAAUACAUGCAAGUCGAGCGAACAGACGAGGAGCUUGCUCCUUUGACGUUAGCGGCGGACGGGUGAGUAACACGUAGGUAACCUACCUAUAAGACUGGGAUAACUUCGGGAAACCGGAGCUAAUACCGGAUAAUAUUUCGAACCGCAUGGUUCGAUAGUGAAAGAUGGCUUUGCUAUCACUUAUAGAUGGACCUGCGCCGUAUUAGCUAGUUGGUAAGGUAACGGCUUACCAAGGCAACGAUACGUACCCGACCUGAGCGGGUGAUCGCCCACACUGGAACUGAGACACGGUCCAGACUCCUACGGGAGGCAGCAGUAGGGAAUCUUCCGCAAUGGGCGAAAGCCUGACGGAGCAACGCCGCGUGAGUGAUGAAGGUCUUCGGAUCGUAAAACUCUGUUAUUAGGGAAGAACAAACGUGUAAGUAACUGUGCACGUCUUGACGGUACCUAAUCAGAAAGCCACGGCUAACUACGUG